rfam:Schistosoma mansoni strain Puerto Rico chromosome W, complete genome
AGCUUUGUGAAUCUGUGCAGAGAUUUCGUUAGAAACCAACCCAUUAGAGCUGAUCAGACUUCCAUGAUAAGUGAAGUU